AACUGAUAAUUUUGACUGUAUGAGAGACAAAUCAUAAGGGGAUGUCCAUGGAGUAUUGCUGCUAACUCUCUGAGAGAUAAAAGGCUUUGUGAAGACUUCACGAGCUGUCCCUCCAGGCUGAAGAGCUCAUCUCCUGCUUUCUUUUGCCCUCCUCAGCCUCAUUCCUAUUCCUUCCCUUCUGUAAAGAUGAAGAUGAAUGUUCAUUAAGUUUUGAUAGAAAUCAUGUGAAAUUGCAUCUGAAUCUUCAGAUCUUCAGAUGAAGUUCAGGGUUUUCAGCCAUGUGUCCUGUGAUCAAGCAGCAGGCUCCACAGGAAAUAGGAG